rnacentral:rRNA from 1 species
GAUGAACGCUAGCGGCAGGCCUAAUACAUGCAAGUCGAACGGUAAACGGUCCUUCGGGACCGUGAUAGUGGCGGACGGGUGCGUAACGCGUAUGCAACCAACCCCCGACGGGCGGACAGCCGGUGGAAACGCCGGAUAACACGCCAUGCGACCCCGGGAGGGCAUCCUCUCGGGGCCAAAGCCCACGGGCGGUCGGGGACGGGCAUGCGUGCCAUUAGCUAGUAGGCGGGGUGAGGGCCCACCUAGGCUACUAUGGCUAGGGGAUCUGAUAGGACGGUCCCCCACACUGGUACUGAUACACGGACCAUACUCCUGCGGGAGGCAGCAGUAAGGGAUAUUGGGCAAUGGGGGGAACCCUGUACCAGCCAUGCCGCGUGAGGGAAUGAGGCCCUACGGGUCGUGAACCUCUUUUAUUCGGGGACAAGGACACCUACGGGAUGGGUGUCUGAGGGUACCGUAGGAAUUAGCGUCGGCUAACUCCCGUGCCAGCAGGCGCGGGUAUACGGAGGACGCGAACGUUAUCCGGAUUCAUGGGG